rnacentral:lncRNA from 1 species
AUAAGAAGUAGCAUAGUUCUCCAAUUCACAAUUGGAGCAGUUGUGCUUCAUUGGAAAAGUCACAACAGAAGAUGGAGAAGAGAUACGAGGAGGACGAAGGGAUCUCAAGUACAGAGGACUGCAAACUGCACUCAGAAUCUAAUUCAGAGCCAUUAAUAAGUCACUUAUCUGCAACAAACAGUUCGACCACAGUAUGCUGUGGAAAUGUUAAGCUGCAGUGCACCUGUAGCUUACUCUUUCAUUCCUGACUUUAGUAUCAGCAGUGGCUACUUUACCCUUCCUUGCCGGUCAAAAGAAGAUUUCAUGGAUAACAGUUUGGACUGUUGUCCAGCCGUGUCAGAUUUUGGCAGAGACUUCAGCAGUGCUAAACCACAGCUGUGGUCCUGUGUGGCAUGUGUCUUGCUGCGGGUGCAGCAGGAGGACUACCUGAUGCGUCGCUGUGUAGAAUAGGACCAAGGGGUCUGCUGUUGAAAAGGAGCUCUGUGCUGCAUCUGCAGAUCGACUUACACGACCACUUCCUGCUUCCGACCAACUCCUCACAGGGAAUCCUGUGUGCCAAGGCCGAAAAAAGCUCAAACAGAGGGGUUCAGUCCACCCAGGGGCUGAGCACAGGACCCUAUUCAUCCUCUCCCUAAGACUCCUCCCCGCUCUCCCCAACCAACCUUAGGAUAGCUUUAUUUUAAAAUUCACAAAUAUUCCCCUCUCAGAGGCAUUGAGAUAAACCAACUGCUCAUUCCCUUUUUUCACUGGGGCUUGACAGACAAGCUGUGCCAGUGCUGCCCUGAGACUGGUGAGGUGAAACGCGCUGGUGUUAAGCCUUUGUAUGGUGUCUGUCUCUCUGGUACGCGUGCAGUUACGUCAGAAGGUAAAGUGAGCAGCAAGGUUCAUUGAUAAAAUGAUGUAUUUGAACACAGAAAAAAGGUUAUAUAGAUGUUUAAUGGUUAAUGAGCCUUGUAAUUGAGUCACUGCACGUGAAUCCCGGUAGUCACAGUUAAAGGUGGAGGGUAAAAUAAACAAACAAAUAAAUAAAUAAAUCUCUGUCUGAGGCUAGGGGGAGCAAAUCAGUUUGGUUACUGGAGUCAUGCUGCUAUUCCAGGAAUGCGUACUUUGUCCCAUCUAGACCUGGCAGCAGUGGAGAGAACAGGAACUUGGGAAUAGUAGUCUUCACCUGAGUUGGAAUAUUUACACAACCCUAUGAGGGCCAAUAGUGUAGGGCUAUUUAAGAUUCUUGGGGAAAUGGCAAAGUGGGCAAGUAACUCUUAGGACAAACAAACCCAGCAUUAAUGAUGAGGCUGUCACUGGAUUGAAUGUUUUUGGUUUUCCCCCUGCAUAUUGCUGAGACACAGUCU